rnacentral:rRNA from 1 species
GACGUAGGUGGCGAACGUUAUCCGGAAUCAUUGGGCGUAAAGGGUGCGUAGAUGGCAUGAUAAGUUAUUAGUGGGAAAUCGAGGCUCAACCUCGUGGAAGCUAGUAAUACUGUUUUUGCUUGAGUACAGAAGAGGUUAACGGAACUCCAUGUGGAGCGGUAAAAUGCGUAGAUAUAUGGAAGAACACCAAUAACGGCGAAGGCAGUUAACUAUUCUGUUACUGACAUUGAGGCACGAAAGCGUGGGGAGCAAAACGG